GAUGAACGCUGGCGGCGUGCCUAAUACAUGCAAGUCGAGCGAACGGACGAGAAGCUUGCUUCUCUGAUGUUAGCGGCGGACGGGUGAGUAACAUGUGGAUAACCUACCUAUAAGACUGGGAUAACUUCGGGAAACCGUAGCUAAUACCGGAUAAUAUUUUGAACCGCAUGGUUCAAAAGUGAAAGACGGUCUUGCUGUCACUUAUAGAUGGAUCCGCGCUGCAUUAGCUAGUUGGUAAGGUAACGGCUUACCAAGGCAACGAUGCAUAGCCGACCUGAGAGGAUGAUCGGCCACACUGGAACUGAGACACGGUCCAGACUCCUACGGGAGGCAGCAGUAGGGAAUCUUCCGCAAUGGGCGAAAGCCUGACGGAGCAACGCCGCGUGAGUGAUGAAGGUCUUCGGAUCGUAAAACUCUGUUAUUAGGGAAGAACAUAUGUGUAAGUAACUGUGCACAUCUUGACGGUACCUAAUCAGAAAGCCACGGCUAACUACGUG
rnacentral:rRNA from 1 species